rnacentral:lncRNA from 1 species
UCAAAUCCAUUAACUGAAAAGAGAAAUAAGAAAUAACUCACAAAUGAGAACACAAAGAAAAACAGAGAUUUUCUAUUAUGACAGGGUUUUGGCAGUACGAAACAAACUGCAUUUGAGAUAGAAGAAUGUAGAAGUAUUACACACCCAUGUCAAUGGAUUGCCAGGAUGAGACACCAUGCAUGUAAACCAGAUUCAAAAGGAUAGUUGAAGAGAUAAACUUAUGCAUGCCUUGAUGCAAGUGCAAUGAUAACUAAUAUGCCAUAUAUAUAUAUCGGAUAAAGUCAGCCCAACCAAAAGCAUAUGAUCACAUAAGUGUACAAUAGCAAACGGCGAGUGCAAAGAUAAGAAACAUAACGUUGUUCGGAUGUGGCGUUGGCGUGUUUAGGUCACGUUCGCCUGUUUUUAGUUCAGAAGGAAAUUAAAUGGAGUACUAUUCCUAUUUUCUAAUUACAUACGACAAAGAUGGUCGAGAGAAAUUUUAUAUUCUAUAAUCAAAGAUACAAAGUAGGAGUAUCACAACAAGCAGUAAGUCUUAGUCAUGUCUGUAUCCAUCCUCUACAAUUAUUGACCCCCAUUUAUUUUUGGUCACGGCCACACCCAGGGCGUAAUUCAAGCUAUAAUUUCAAAUGUGAAAACAGAAGUCAUUUACCUGUUGCGGUCCUUACAUCCAUCAAGAUGGUCCUACUGAUUCCUAUGAUGGGUUGUGCUUGUGCAUGAGCAAAAACCAACAAUAACCAACUUGGGACCUAAAAGGAAGAGGACAUUAAAUUCAUUAACUGAAAACUGAAUUAAUCGAGUAUGGAAAACUGAAUUCAUUAAUUGAACUCCUACAAAGAAGAAGAGUACAAAUACAUUAACCUAUUUCCCCCGCAAAAAAUACAUUAACCUAUCUAUGCAUCAUCUCUGUGGUUAAAGAUCCCAAGCUCCUACAUUAAUAAUCGACUACAAAAAAUGAAUUCAUUAACUAAAUCACAUAGAUAGAGAAAGUUUCUCAAUGGCAAUACUUAGUAAACUCUAAGAUCAAUCCGACAUUACCAAUGGGAACAAUUCAAAAUGUGUACUUGCUUGGGUAUAUAGUUUUAAGAUAAGGCAGUAGCAAUGACACAAUGGAACACAACAGUUCUAUAGGUGACAGUUUUAUAGCUGUCUAGUAUUAUGACCAGCCAUAUCGAAUUUUCGCCAUAUAUUUACCUACUUGAUGAGAGAAAAUGACAUUAAAGUAGGCUGGUGUCAUAAAGAAACCAUCAUGAUUGCAGAUUCACCAUCGUGUUUCUGAAUAGUACACGAGUUCCGUGCAAUGUGAAGGAAGAAAACAGAGCAAGUACUCCACUAUAGUACGAAAACAACAUAUACUUACUUAACCCAACAAUUGUUUUAUCCAAUUAAACCUAAAAGCGGUGAAAAUAAAAUUUUGAUGCGAGAAAAUAACUGAAGAGAAAAAUCUGCACAAAACGACCCAUGUUAAAUAUACUCUAGUCACUACUUAAGUAAAUUUGUAAUCAUUCGCAGAAAUAUUUGCUAUGCUAUUUGAAGGAAACAAAACAGCUUAUACCACAGGAGCAGAACAUAAAUAUCCUUUUGACUCAAACUAUACCACAUUAUCUCCUCCAAAAUUCACAAUGCUAUCAAUAAGAGAGAUCUUGCACUGAAAACAGAAGAAACAACAAAGAGAAUUCGCCUCAACCAAAUCUCAGUUUUCCUGAAUAUACCUAGAAAUCGAAUCAGGGAGACAGGCUACAGAAUAACCCAUAGAUCUUCUAAACAAUUCUAUGUUUUUAAGGCGACGCCUUGCUUUAAGGCGCUGGGGGGGCGCUUCGACGCCUAGGCGCCUAAAGCGGACGCCUAGGCGCCUAAAGCGCAAAGCGCUGGGGGGGCGCCUCGACGCCUAGGCGUCGCCUAGGCGUCGCCUUACGGACGCCUUUAAAACAUAGAAACAAUUUACAUGGUCAAUGGCUGAUUGUACAUCAUCAACUAUCUCAACCAUGCAAGACACGAAACUGUACUCCAGAGUCCAGAUGUAACUAAUCUGCUUUCUGGUAGCCCAAUACUUUGUGCGCAACACGCUCGCAAUACAGAUUAACUCCUGCAAUACAUCAUUAAUAAAAAACAUAAGGGGAAUCAUCAAUCCACAUGUUUCUAGGUAUUUUGUUUGACUGUACUGACUGAACGAGGGCUCACAUGCCUUGAGUGGAAGAACAAAAAUCACAAGGACUCAUAGAAUAUAAUGCACCUAAAAUUAGAAACAUUUACCUAGCUAGCAAUAAGAUAUGCAUCAGCAUAGAAAUGAAAGAUGUAAUCAACCAACUCAUACUGGUACAGAGAAGGUCAGGAAGAGAGAUAGGACAGGGGUAGAGAGAGGCCACAGAGGGGAGCCGGGGAGUACCUACAGUUGGACAGAAGGGUGGCCACGCCGAUGUGCACACGCGGUGGCGAGGAGGAGCUUUAGUAGGUGACCUGAAUGCCGACUUUCCUAGGGGCUCGUAAAUAUGCGAUAACAGUUCAAUUGCAUGAAGCCGAGCAAAAUAUUUUAGGACAUGAAUCUUUGAUCUGGAUAGUGCCAAAAUUGCGUAGUAAUUUAUCCUUGCCAUCACAGAAAGCACAUGCAGUACCUGACAUGAAAAGUAAAAAGAGAGGGAAUUAAUCACACCGAUAAAACCACACAUCAAUAAAAAAGAGGAAAUUAUGUACAAGAUUAUCCAUAGAAGUCAAGGUGCACAUGAAGGUUGCACUGAAUAGCAUCUGUGCAGAAGAAAUAAAAGAACACCAAAUUACACAUUACUGAAGUGAACAUAGCAAUAAGCAGCAAAAUAUAAGAGGAUACAACUUUGAACAUGUUGAUCGGCAAUUCUAUAUAGCUUGCAAAUACACCAAUGAAAGGUAGCGUGCAAUCUGAUGAUACAAACCUGGCUAAAAUUAGUAGAGUCAAAGCGCUUAAACCUGGAAGAACAUAGUGGCACCACAAAAUUUCUCUCAACCACCUUUUGGCUAGAUUUAUUUUAGACGGUGGAGUGUACAAGCCCUACAAACUGAAACGAACAAUAAUAAGCAGGAGGAUGACAAACAAUGCAAAUAAAAAAAACAGUUCAUUCGAUAGCAAACCACAACGCUAAUGGCUAGUCAAGUGAAAAAUAUAGAUGGAAAUGAUAAAAGCAAUCAUCCAUAUAUUUUGAUACAAAUAAGGGCAUAUCCAAACAUGGCAUGCAUGACAACCUCAAAUCCAUGGGGUCUAUUUGGUUAGAUCAGAAUGAGCAAAAAUGGAAAAUAGCCACAAACAUUCAGCACAAGAAAACAAAGUUUUGCAUCUACACAGCAGUGAAGCAAGGCUAUGAGCCAAAUUAGUGCAUCUACUACAUACUUGACUCACUCUACACUCUAGGCUGACAUAGCAUCACAUUAAUGUCAGGUCACUCGUAGGAAAUAAAAUAAAUUGAAGACCAAGAUUUGCGUAUGGUGAAUGAAGGAAUGACGGCAUACCUGCAGGAGAAAUUCAUCGCAUCAAGCUACAAAAAAACAAAAAAGAGAAGUAAAACCCUCUAUCAUAGAGCCUCUUCCCUGUGAAUUUCUUAGACACGGAAGCAGCACAAAGGAAGACGUUUUUCCAUAUAAUAUUCAUAAAUGAAGUUUUUACUCAUUAUCCAUUGGUAACAUAGACACCUUAACAAAUUUCCUGGUAGACGAACAAC